UACAGAGGUCUCAAGCGUUGUUCGGAUUCAUUGGGCGUAAAGGGUGCGUAGGCGGCGCGGUAAGUCGGGUGUGAAAUCUUGGAGCUUAACUCCGAAACUGCAUUCGAUACUGCCGUGCUUGAGGACUGGAGAGGAGACUGGAAUUUACGGUGUAGCGGUGAAAUGCGUAGAUAUCGUAAGGAAGACCAGUGGCGAAGGCGGGUCUCUGGGCCGGAACUGACGCUGAGGAGCGAAAGCGUGGGGAGCGAACAGG
rnacentral:rRNA from 1 species